UACAGAGGGUGCAAGCGUUAAUCGGAAUUACUGGGCGUAAAGCGUGCGUAGACGGUUGCGUAAGUCAGAUGUGAAAGCCCCGGGCUCAACCUGGGAAUUGCAUUUGAGACUGCGUAGCUAGGGUGCGGAAGAGGGAAGCGGAAUUUCCGGUGUAGCGGUGAAAUGCGUAGAUAUCGGAAGGAACACCAGUGGCGAAAGCGCCUAUCUGGCCCGAUACUGACGCUGAGGCGCGAAAGCUAGGGGAGCAAACGGG
rnacentral:rRNA from 1 species